CCUACGGGUGGCAGCAGUGAGGAAUAUUGGUCAAUGGACGAGAGUCUGAACCAGCCAAGUAGCGUGAAGGAUGACUGCCCUAUGGGUUGUAAACUUCUUUUAUAUGGGAAUAAAAUGUUCCACGUGUGGGAUUUUGUAUGUACAAUAUGAAUAAGGAUCGGCUAACUCCGUGCCAGCAGCAGCGGUAAUACGGAGGAUCCGAGCGUUAUCCGGAUUUAUUGGGGUUAAAGGGAGCGUAGGUGGAUUGUUAAGUCAGUUGUGAAAGUUUGCGGCUCAACCGUAAAAUUGCAGUUGAAACUGGCAGUCUUGAGUACAGUAGAGGUGUGCGGAAUUCGUGGUGUAGCGGUGAAAUGCUUAGAUAUCACGAAGAACUCCGAUUGCGAAGGCAGUUCACUGGACUGCAACUGACACUGAGGCUCGAAAGUGUGGGUAUCAAACAGGAUUAGAUACCCUUGUAGUC
rnacentral:rRNA from 1 species